rnacentral:rRNA from 1 species
UAGGGAAUCUUCGGCAAUGGACGAAAGUCUGACCGAGCAACGCCGCGUGAGUGAAGAAGGUUUUCGGAUCGUAGAACUCUGUUGGUAGAGAAGAACGUUGGUGAGAGUGGAAAGCUCAUCAAGUGACGGUAACUACCCAGAAAGGGCGGCUAACUACGUGCCAC